GUAAUAGAAUUCAUUUGAGAGUGUAAACAUAAAUUUGAUGACAACAGUGAUGAAAUUAUCGUUGUAUAUCAAAGCAAUCAUACAAAUUAAUUAUGCAAAGGAAUGCUAGCUUGGGAAUAUAGAGCAAAGCUUGUCAGUUAGCCUAGGAACAUCAAGUUAUAGUAUCCUCAAUCAUAAUUGUUAGUGAAAUUUUGGUAACUAGAGCAGUCGAUGUCUGAAAUAUCUAAUUGCCAGACCAUCCACAAGCUUCAUCAAGUCGAUUAUUUAACAAAAGAAAAUAAUUACAAUAUUUUUACAAUAUAUAACUUAAAUCUUGCCAAUUAAAAUUUUAACAUUUUCUCAUACAUCUCCUAUAUAUAUCAAAACAUACUUAAAUAAUUUUAAAUUUCCGAUAAUUAAAUCUUCCAAUAAAAUAUUCUUUCAAAUAAAAUUCGUAUAAUUUUCAUUCAUUCAUUUCGAAACAACUAAAUUUAUUUAUUUAAAAUCAACACACCCUCGACACGAGAGAAUUCCCAUAGAAUUCCAAAUACACGAAUCGAUAAACAGGCAUUCGUUCACAUACGACAAGAAAAAUUGAUACCCGUUAAAUUCGAUAUCUCUCCCGUUGUCGAGCCAUCGAUCAAACAGGUGACGCUUUAUCGGUUAGUUACUAAUCACCUUUCCAAAGGGUCCAAAGGGAGUUUUAUUUUAGCAUAAUUCCAAUUUUAUCCCCGGACGAGCAGCAGCACGGUUGCUCGAAGAUGAAUAGCCGGGGGCGGCCGAUCAGAUAAAACGAUUCUGAAAGAUGGAGAACAAAGAGAAAAGGAAGAGAAGAAAAAGGGAAGGGGGGGGAAAGAAAUGGACGAAAUAAGAAGGAGAAAUUCCAAGAAUCGAGCAGGGCCGUAAUUCGGUCCAGUCAGCUUAAAAUGCAACCUAACUCUUCCCGCCCGACUAGUGGAACCACCCGAUUUGAAUAUCCAACUGAAUUAAGACAGCCUCACGGGCCAUUAAGUCAAGCGAAAAGAGGUGGAAACUUUUCUGGUAUUACCCAAGACGUAAAGGGACUCGCGCUAUCGAAUUUAUAUUGCGACAAGUGCAUACAGGACUUAGUAGGAUAGAAAAUAUGAAUUCUCGAGCGUUCGAUUUCAUUGUGUGAAUGAAAUCUGACGGGGAUUUUUCAUCAUUAUUACGCGAUAAAUUAUUCCAACUAUGUUAUCUGAUUUACAUUACGUGUAUUGAGUAAAAAAUACGUUCCAUUGAUUGAUUUGGUCAUACGUAUAUCAAAGAUCGAUGAUAGAAAUCAAUAUUCGAAGAUUGGUUGUUUAUUUAUCAAGUUACAAACAAUUUUUAAAUUGGACGAAGCGAAGAUGAAAUGAUCUCUGUCUCGUCUAGCGGAAAAUUAAAUUGCUUACGACUGGAAGAACAAAAGAAGUUCAUUUUUGCAUGCCAACUUGUGUGUUCCAGCCCCUGGAAUCAUCCCUUCAAAUUUUCUACCCACUUGAUCCGAACACCUUGUAUAUAUAGGUCAACUAUGCAACAACUUCGAACGAAUUUGUUUUGUCCUAUUCGUGUUGAUUUUUCUCUCUUGGCUUUUUCCAGAUUAACCUAACCUUUCUGUGCAUAUACGGACGCAUAGGCAAAAUUCCAUCCAACUGAAAAGCAAUUUACGAAUGCAUGAAGGGAUCGGGUGGAAAAUAUUUACCAUUUAGAAAAUGCAGAGUGGGAAAAUUAAAUUUAAAGAUAUCACGCUUGUUUAGAUUAUGUUAUUUGCGCGUGCGUAUAUAUAUAUAGGAAUUAAAAUUUUAUAAAUACGUUUAUGAAAAAAAAUUUCGUGACAUCUGGGGAGAAAUUUCCGAAAAAGAUUUCCAUGAAAAUGGUGUCAUGCUGACACGCGAAAAUUCUUAGUAAAAAGAAACCUCUUUUUUUUUAUUUUAUUUUAUUUUAUUUUAUUCAUUUUUUUAUUUUUCUUUUUUUUCCUUCGAAAUUGGCAUGUAAAAUGCAUAACCAAUAUUGACCGUCGGCCACAUUUUUGCACGUACAUGUUUUCAGGUUUUUGUGUCCUAUUUCGCGACGUAUUUUGUUAACCUCGUAAAAAAAAAAUUUUUCGAAAUUAUACUUAAACGAUAUUAUAUUAGAAAGAAAUGUUUGCGUGAAGUGAUUUUACAAAAAAAAAAAAAAGAUAAAUUAAUCAGUAGAGUUAAUUGAUGAAAAAAUGGGGAAAAAUUUCUGGAAAUAAAAAAACGAAAGAGAGAUGCGUAAAAUAUAUUUGUAAAACUCUCCGUAACAAAACAGCAGAGAGAAAUAACGAUCGUGCACCAAUUCCCUUCGUAAUUCCUGCAUUUUCCGUUUGUAUAUAAUCCUCUAUUUUAAUACACCUUAAUAUUUGCAUUAUCGACAUUGCACGCGCAUUAUUUAUAUAUCAAUCUAAUAAAAAAAUAAACAUUUCUUUUAUACGAAAAAUUUAUCCGUAACGUUGUAUCAACUCCUGCUAUUAUGACACCGCCGCGACAUUAAUUGGAAAAUAACUUGUAAUUGAAGAACAACGAAGGUUAAAAAAAUUUAAAAAAAAAAAGAGAGAGAGAGAGAGAUAAAUUAGAGAAAUAAAAAGCAAUAUCUUGAAAUCUAUUUUUAUAAAUUUUACAAAGGAUUAUAAAUUUCGAUCGGAGAAGCAAAUUUCAUUGAACUUUCGAAACUUUACGAGAGGGCAGUUUAACGCGAAACGCGAAAUCGUAGAGAGAGACGCGGGUGGGGAGGGGAAAAAACUGGAAUAAAACAUUAAAAUUCAGAAUAAACCGUUCCCGGCCGUUUAACUCGAAAAUUCAAGAGAGAAACCCGUGAUUGAAAAUUUGAAUGCGUUGGCCAUACAGUAUAUUUGCCGCACGAAACAAUGAACCGACUAAAUAAUCGAGCGCGAAAUAUCCUAUUUUUGAUUCUCUCUUUCUCUCUCUUUUUUUUUUCGCGCACUAUUUUAUUCUUGUCAACUGAAUUUUUGAUUGACCAUUUCGAAAUAAACACGGGACCGCGCUCAAUUUACGCGCUAAAUCGAUCUGUAUUUCGAUGGUAUCGUUAUUCGAGAACCAUUUCUAGAAAUUUGUUCGUAUUUUAUUAUUUCACAUUUUUCAAUGGACGGAUGUAAUGAUACGAUACGCGUGAUUUAUCUCGUCUCAAAUAUUUUUUCACGACGAUAAAAUAAUUAUAAAAUAAUUUUUUGAAAUUACAGAACGAGGGAAUCAGGAUUUUAGGGGAAUUUAAUUCAUCUAGAGAUUUUUCUCUACGUGAAUUUUAACAAAUACACGUAAAAGUUAUUUUAUUAAAGUGUGAAAUUAAUAUUCUGUGAAUCUUUAAUAAACGAUUGCAUCAUACAAGAGACGUAAAUCGAGAAAAACACACGAAAAGUUCUUCAGUGAUCGAUUUUGAAUUUCAAGAAUCCUUUCAUAAGAAAUGAUCAAUAAUCGUUCGUGGAGGAACGUGAACGGAUUGAUAUUCCAGGCUUAUCCAAUCUCAACGUGGAAUUCUUUUUAUCAUCAAAUCCUGAUCAAAUUUUCAUAAAUCAUAACCAUUCGUCAAUUUUUCUCUAGAAAAUUGUAUUGCAACUUUUUCUUCCAAAUUCCAAAAUCAAAAUUUCCACUGUUCGUGUGAAAAACAAAAGAAAAAAAUUAUAAAAUAGCCAAUAAACUGGCCCAAAAAUAAUAAGAAGAUACAUUAUUUUCCUCCAAUUAUUUUAGUUUAAUCGAUCAACAAAAAUCCAAGAACCGCGAACACCAAGAGAGAAAACAAAGUUUCUUUUCGAAGAGAGAAGAAAGGCGGUUUGCUCGAAAGCUGAGCCAUCGGGAUACGUUUGACAAACAACGUUCAACGUUGUAUUUUCAUAUUUCCAUAUCCGUAACGCAUAACACAUCACGGAGAAAAAAAAACACAAGCAAGGAAGGAAAACCAGGAUACGGAGCUUGGACCAUUUUUGAUUCUUUGAAGGUGUAACGUGAUCUAUCAAAUAUUAUAUGGAAAGUACUAUAAAAUUGAGAGUGCAAGUUUCUUUAGCGAAAGGAAAAUAUGAAACUUUCAUGAAGGAAAUAUCAAAUAUUUAUAUACACGAGAUUAUCAUAAUGCAAUCUUUUUCAAAACUCGUUUGUUCGUUACGAAAUGUAAUACCUUUGUGUAUUUCUUCUCCGAGUUUCUAUAUGCAUUUCUUUUAAGAUGAUUAAAAUUUCGACUUAAUAGGACUUUUAGGAACGAAUAUUUGUGACGAAGAAAGGGAAUUCUAUAAAGAGAUACGAUUUACUUAUUUCAAGUUUUAUAAAGGAAAGAAUAAGAUGUUUAUAUUUAUUGGAAACAUAAUAAAGAAGCAUCGUUAUAUGCACAAGAGAUAUAUAUGUGAAUGACAGAGGUAACAGAAAUAAAAAGCGAGUAAAAAAUAUAUGUAUAUGGUGCAAUAUUGUAUCCACUAAUGGAUUAAAAGUUUUGUUAUAAAAUAGAAAUGAUAUCCGAAACUUUUUACUCUCUGAUUGUAUGAAUUGUAUUUAAAUUUGUACUGCACAAAUUAUACCAUGAAAUGAAAUAUUGUCCAAGUAAUUAAAAAACUGAUGAACUUUUAUGAAACUAAACACACAAAUAAAAAAAAAAUAUC
rnacentral:lncRNA from 1 species